rnacentral:rRNA from 2 species
GAAUGCUGACAUAAGUAACGAUAAAGCGGGUGAAAAGCCCGCUCGCCGGAAGACCAAGGGUUCCUGUCCAACGUUAAUCGGGGCAGGGUGAGUCGACCCCUAAGGCGAGGCCGAAAGGCGUAGUCGAUGGGAAACGGGUUAAUAUUCCCGUACUUGGUGUUACUGCGAAGGGGGGACGGAGAAGGCUAUGUUGGCCGGGCGACGGUUGUCCCGGUUUAAGCGUGUAGGUGUGUGUUCCAGGUAAAUCCGGUUCACUUUAACACUGAGGCGUGACGACGAGGCACUACGGUGCUGAAGCAACAAAUGCCCUGCUUCCAGGAAAAGCCUCUAAGCAUCAGGUAACACGAAAUCGUACCCCAAACCGACACAGGUGGUCAGGUAGAGAAUACCAAGGCGCUU